GUAGGUGAACCUGCGGAAGGAUCAUUAUUGAAUUAAACCUGAUAAGUUGUUGCUGGUUCUCUAGGGAACACUGUGCACACUUGUCAUCUUUAUAUCUCCACCUGUGCACCUUUUGUAGACCUGGAUGUCUCUCCAAGUAGUGAUUUUUUGCACCUUGGGUUUUGAGGAUUGACUUUAUUGUCUCUACCUUACAUUUCUAGGUCUAUGUUUUUCUCAUAUACCCCAAUUUAUGUUAUAGAAUGUAAUACAUGGGACUUUGUGCCUAUAAACUUUAUACAACUUUCAGCAACGGAUCUCUUGGCUCUC
rnacentral:misc_RNA from 1 species